rnacentral:rRNA from 1 species
GAUGAACGCUGGCGGCGUGCCUAAUACAUGCAAGUCGAGCGAAUGGAUUAAGAGCUUGCUCUUAUGAAGUUAGCGGCGGACGGGUGAGUAACACGUGGGUAACCUGCCCAUAAGACUGGGAUAACUCCGGGAAACCGGGGAUAAUACCGGAUAACAUUUUGAACCGAAUGGGUCGAAAUGGAAAGGAGGCUUCGGCUGUCACUUAGGGAUGGAGCCGCGUCGCAUUAGCUAGUUGGUGAGGUAACGGCUCACCAAGGCAACGAUGCGUAGCCGACCUGAGAGGGUGAUCGGCCACACUGGGACUGAGACACGGCCCAGACUCCUACGGGAGGCAGCAGUAGGGAAUCUUCCGCAAUGGACGAAAGUCUGACGGAGCAACGCCGCGUGAGUGAUGAAGGCUUUCGGGUCGUAAAACUCUGUUGUUAGGGAAGAACAAGUGCUAGUUGAAUAAGCUGGCACCUUGACGGUACCUAACCAGAAAGCCACGGCUAACUACGUGCCAGCAGCCGCGGUAA